UGGACCAAUGAUGAUAGCUGGUGGCGUAUGAGUCACAGAUGAUGAAUCCUAUGUGUCUGAAACUCUUGAGGUCCAA